ensembl:rRNA 5S_rRNA 5S ribosomal RNA
GUAUGUGGCCAUACCACCUUGAACAUGCCCAAUCUUGGAAGUUAAGCAGGAUUGGGGCUGGUUAGUACUUGGAUAGGAGAAUACAUGCAAGAUAUGUAGAGCAUGUUCC